UCGAGAAUCUUCGGCAAUGGGCGCAAGCCUGACCGAGCGACGCCGCGUGCGGGAUGAAGGCCUUCGGGUUGUAAACCGCUGUCAGUUGGGAGGAAAUGCGUGGGGGUUCUCCCCCAUGUUUGACCGAUCUUCAGAGGAAGUACGGGCUAAGUUCGUGCCAGCAGCCGCGGUAACACGAACCGUACGAACGUUAUUCGGAAUCACUGGGCUUAAAGAGUGCGUAGGCGGCUUUACAGGUGGGGUGUGAAAGCCCACGGCUCAACCGUGGAACUGCGCCCCAAACCGUAAGGCUUGAGGGAGAUAGAGGUGAGCGGAACUGAUGGUGGAGCGGUGAAAUGCGUUGAUAUCAUCAGGAACACCAGCGGCGAAGGCGGCUCACUGGGUCUUUUCUGACGCUGAGGCACGAAAGCUAGGGGAGCGAACGGGAUUAGAUACCCCCGUAGUCC
rnacentral:rRNA from 1 species